rnacentral:rRNA from 1 species
UACGGGGGGGGUAAGCGUUGUUCGGAAUUACUGGGCGUAAAGGGCGCGUAGGCGGCCAUCUAAGUCAGACGUGAAAUCCCCCGGCUUAACCUGGGAACUGCGUCUGAUACUGGACGGCUUGAGUAUGGGAGAGGGAUGUAGAAUUCCAGGUGUAGCGGUGAAAUGCGUAGAUAUCUGGAGGAAUACCGGUGGCGAAGGCGGCAUCCUGGACCAUUACUGACGCUGAGGCGCGAAAGCUAGGGGAGCAAACGGG